rnacentral:rRNA from 1 species
GACGAACGCUGGCGGCGUGCUUAACACAUGCAAGUCGAACGGAAAGGCCCUGCUUUUGUGGGGUGCUCGAGUGGCGAACGGGUGAGUAACACGUGAGUAACCUGCCCUUGACUUUGGGAUAACUUCAGGAAACUGGGGCUAAUACCGGAUAGGAGCUCCUGCUGCAUGGUGGGGGUUGGAAAGUUUCGGCGGUUGGGGAUGGACUCGCGGCUUAUCAGCUUGUUGGUGGGGUAGUGGCUUACCAAGGCUUUGACCGGUAGCCGGCCUGAGAGGGUGACCGGCCACAUUGGGACUGGAAUACGGCCCAGACUCGUACGGGAGGCAACGGUGGAGAGUGGUGCACAGUAGGCUGAAGCCUGAUGCGGCAACGCAGCGUGCGGGAUGACGGCCUUGGGGUUGUGAACCGAUUUCGCCUGAGACGAAGCGUGAGUGACGGUAAUGGGUAAAGAAGCACCGGCUAACUACGUG